UACCAGCACCCCGAGUGGUCGGGACGUUUAUUGGGCCUAAAGCAUCCGUAGCCGGUUCUACAAGUCUUCCGUUAAAUCCAACUGCUUAACAGGUGGGCUGCGGAAGAUACUAUAGAGCUAGGAGGCGGGAGAGGCAAGCGGUACUCGGAUGGGUAGGGGUAAAAUCCGUUGAUCCAUUGAAGACCACCAGUGGCGAAGGCGG
rnacentral:rRNA from 1 species